ensembl:lncRNA
GGGCUGGGGAGGGGGUAGACAGCAUGAUCUCCCUCCAUGCCUUGGAAGCGCUUGGUGGCAAGCCUGGGCGCUACUGUACUCCCUUAGCAAUGGCCCUAGCGUCCAGAAGCCCUGGACCUUGAGGUCCCCCACAUUGCCAGCAAGCUAAUGGGCGAGGCAGGUCAGGACUCCCAGUGCUGGGACUCCCAACCUAUUGUUGUUCCCAGCACCCUAGUGAUAGACUCUCCUUCUUGGUGAGGGGCCAGAGAAACACUUGCCGGCUGUACCCUUGGGAGAAGCUGCAGCUGUUGAAGGAGGGCCAGGCAUGCUGACUUUGUGAAGGGCUUCCUGGACUUUGCAUUUGAGAGGAUUGACUAUAAAUCUGGGUCAGGGCUGAAGGGGAGAAGAUGUAAGUACCUACUGGGCUGCCUAAAUUGAGCCCGUUCAGAUUAGCUGGAUCAGUUCUAAAAGGCUGAGAGAAGGCACGGGAAGAAGACGAGAGAGCUGCCAGAUCCAUCCCUCUAUUCUCAGAGAGAUGAUCUCUCUCUCUCUCUCUCUCUCUCUCUCUCUCUCUCUCUCUCUCUCUCUCUCUCUCUCUCUCUCUUGUCUGUCUGUCCUGUGUGUCUCUCUCUCUCCUGUCUCUCUCUCUCUCCUGUCUGUCUGUCUGUCUGUCUCUCUCUCCUGUGUGUGUCUCUCUCUCCUGUGUGUGUGUCUCUCUCCUGUCUCUCCUGUCUCUCUCUCUCUCUCUCCUGUGUGUGUCUCUCCUGUGUGUGUGUCUCUCUCUCCUGUCUCUCUCUCUCUCUCUCCUGUCUGUCUGUCUGUCUCUCUCUGUCUCUCUCACACACACACUUCUUCCUACCCCUUAACCGUAAUGGAAAAAAAAAAGAAAAACAAAAGCCUUUUAAACAAAUAGAUAGUCAGGCAAAACUAGUUCCCAUAUUAGUAAUUUUAAUUCUUCAUACAGAGUCCACCACCUUCCUGGCAGGAAGUGGAUAGCAUGAUCAGUUUUCUAGAAUUGUGGUUACUCAUUGCAUUGAUCUAAGUUCUUAAAAUGUUUCAGUUAUUUACUUGAAUUACAUUUCUUGCCACACCCUGGCUUGGUCUCUCUCAUUCAGCUCAAAUUUCAUGGACCCCUUUCCCCUCCCAAUCUUGUGUUGUUUCUUCCAGGUACCCCUUGGGACAGUCAUGGUCUGAAGCUAAGGACAGUUGCAUGGUAUGGUAUGAAACCUUCUGGAUUUGAGAGCCUGGAAAAGCUGAGUCUGGGAGGUUCACAUUCCAGAAGUUAGGAGAAACUUGAGAUGAGUAUUCCCUUAGCCUAGGUCAAAGACUUGAAUGUUUCCACCAUGUGUGUUUCUAAGAAUCAAAUAUUCUUGCCAUUUCUAGAAAAGGACAUGAUAGUUGAGAGGAAGGAGAUGGCCAGAACGGAGGCAGCCUGCUUCAAAAGAGUCGUGACCCAGAAAACCAGAGAAGCUUUUUUGAUGCUGUUGUAGGCUAGUUGUUGCAGGCUGGAGUCAUUGAUAUGGAUUAGAAAGUUCAGACCAUACAUAUUUCUGACUCAUCUCCAUAGAACUUCCUCUACCAUGUCAUACAAACUUCUUCACCUAGGAAGCUCACUCUACACCUGGGCUUCUGGGUCUGGUAGAACUUCCAUUUUAAAAAGAAGGUCCAGGCCAACCAUGUCUUCAUUCUUCUCUAAACUGCUGUUUCAACUCAUCUUCCCUGGACUUUGUCUCCCAUGCCCUUUGAAACCACGGACUAUCCAUUCCUGCUUUUAUUGGUAUUCAUAGCAUUUAGCACAGUGUCUAGCCUGUAGAAAGUGAUUAAUAAAUGUUUAUUGACCUGACCUGAUACA